CCACCUAAUGUAUGUACAUGUGAGUCCACAGACAUGUUUAUGGACACACAUGUAUGUUCUACAUGUAUUGGGGGGCUGAUAAAUCAGAAUACAAAGUUGAUGACUUUAGAAAAAUACUGUUGUGAUCUUUAAAAAAUGACUCUGUCGGGCGCCUGGGUGGCUCAGUGGGUUAGGC